GGAGAGGUGGCUGAGUGGUUGAAAGCAGCAUCCUGCUAAGAUGUUGACCCCGAAAGGGGUCCGCGGGUCCGAAUCCCGCCCUCUCCGCCA
rnacentral:tRNA from 2 species